rnacentral:rRNA from 1 species
UACGUAGGGGGCAAGCGUUGUCCGGAAUCAUUGGGCGUAAAGAGCGUGUAGGCGGCCAGAUAAGUCCGCUGUGAAAUCUCGAGGCUCAACUUCGAGCUGUCGGUGGAAACUAUCUGGCUAGAGUCCGGAAGAGGGGAAUGGAAUUCCUGGUGUAGCGGUGAAAUGCGCAGAUAUCAGGAAGAACACCCGUGGCGAAGGCGGUUCUCUGGGACGGUACUGACGCUGAGACGCGAAAGCGUGGGGAGCGAACAGG